GUUAGCUGUAUUUUGUGUGGUUUUUCCAAAGCAAAAAAUUGUGGAGUUACUUUUCAUAUAUUUCCAAAAGACCCUACAAGAUAUAAUAUGUCGAUAAAUUUUGUAAAUAAAGGCAGCGAGUGGAAACCGAAAAAAA